rnacentral:rRNA from 1 species
GAUGAACGCUGGCGGCGUGCCUAAUACAUGCAAGUCGAGCGAACGGAGGAGAAGCUUGCUUCUCUGAUGUUAGCGGCGGACGGGUGAGUAACACGUGGAUAACCUACCUAUAAGACUGGGAUAACUUCGGGAAACCGGAGCUAAUACCGGAUAAUAUUUUGAACCGCAUGGUUCAAAAGUGAAAGACGGUCUUGCUGUCACUUAUAGAUGUAUCCGCGCUGCAUUAGCUAGUUGGUAAGGUAACGGCUUACCAAGGCAACGAUGCAUAGCCGACCUGAGAGGGUGAUCAGCCACACUGGAACUGAGACACGGUCCAGACUCCUACGGGAGGCAGCAGUAGGGAAUAUUCGACAAUGGGCGAAAGCCUGACGCAGCAACGCCGCGUGAGUGAUGAAGGUCUUCGGAUCGUAAAACUCUGUUACUUGGGAAGAACAUAAGUGUGAUUAACUGUGCACAUCUUGACGUUACCUAAACAGAAAGCCACGGCUAACUACGUG